rnacentral:rRNA from 1 species
CCUACGGGAGGCAGCAGUAGGGAAUAUUGCUCAAUGGGGGAAACCCUGAAGCAGCAACGCCGCGUGGAGGAUGAAGGUUUUCGGAUUGUAAACUCCUUUUGUUAGAGAAGAUAAUGACGGUAUCUAACGAAUAAGCACCGGCUAAAUCCGUGCCAGCAGCCGCGGUAAUACGGAGGGUGCAAGCGUUACUCGGAAUCACUGGGCGUAAAGAGCGCGUAGGCGGGAUAGCAAGUCAGAUGUGAAAUCAUAUGGCUUAACCAUAGAACUGCAUUUGAAACUGUUAUGCUAGAGUAUGGGAGAGGUAGGUGGAAUUCUUGGUGUAGGGGUAAAAUCCGUAGAGAUCAAGAGGAAUAUCCAUUGCGAAGGCGAUCUGCUAGAACAUAACUGACGCUGAGGAGCGAAAGCGUGGGGAGCAAACAGGAUUAGAUACCCCUGUAGUC